rnacentral:rRNA from 1 species
CGCGUAGGCGGGUACUCAAGUCUGUGGUGAAAUCCUCCGGCUCAACCGGAGAACUGCCAUGGAUACUGGGUGUCUCGAGGGUGGUAGGGGUAUGCGGAACUAUCGGUGGAGCGGUGAAAUGCGUUGAUAUCGAUAGGAACUCCGGUGGCGAAGGCGGCAUACUGGACCACAUCUGACGCUGAGGCGCGAAAGCCAGGGGAGCGAACGGGAUUAGAUACCCCGGUAGUCCUGGCCCUAAACGAUGGGUACUAGCUAGUAGGGUUCACAUGACUUUACUGGCGAAGCAAAAGUGAUAAGUACCCCGCCUGGGGAGUAUGGUCGCAAGGCUGAA